UAAUGGGUUUAUUUGACUUAUUUUUCAUACAAAUUAAAAAUUAGUAAACUCACCAUUUGCUAUAAAAUUUAACAAAACCCAACAACAAAAACUCAUUAUCUGCAGCAAGUGGUAAUUGAUUAAUGAAGGUAAUAGUGAUUUUAAUGGUGAAUUUGGUGAUGAUGAAAAUAUAAUGGGGGUGAAGGUGAUUCUUGAGAGAGAAAGAAAAUGAGAAAUAAAAAAAAAAUACAUUAACCUUUUUUAUUUUUUAAUAAAGGUAAUUUUGAAAUAAGUAGUGUUAACUAAAAAGUGGGAGCAAGUGAGAUAAAUACAGGAGAGUUUAAAUAUCAUUACUAAUCAGGAUGGCAAAAGGGAGGGGAUCCACAUCUCCUUACUUAUUCUUAAUAUUUUGCUUAUAUCUUCAUAUCCUCCGUGACUUUGUCAUAAUUAUUUGAAAGAAGGGGAUGGGUAUCCUCGAAUAAUAAAAAAAGAAUUCCCGAGUAACUACUACUUAUUUUUUUAAUUUGAUUUUAUCAUAUUGAAAUAAAAGUGUAAGAUAGCAUUGUCAACACAAAACAUCAAAAUGAACUAUAGUAAUCAUUUCCAUCAAACUGAGUUAAUAUCAUCAACAUUACAAGAUAAUAUGUCAGAUUAAGCAAAAGUAAAUCUUUAAAUUUUAACACAUCUGUGAAAAAGAUAUCAUCUCUUGCAUUAACAUUAAUUCAUUAAAAAAACAUAAUUAGUCUCUUGUUUAUGAAAAAAUAAUUGUGGCAAAUUUCAUUCAAGUAUUUAUUUUGGUUCUUAU
rnacentral:lncRNA from 1 species